GUUUACUUCCAAUCUCCAGAUCUGGGCUCUGUUAAUCUCACGAGCCGGUGAAGGUUGUCAGGAUGAGGGCCAUACACCGCCCACCACGUGGGGGCAGCAGAAUUAUUGCAGGCUCCUUCACGUGCGGCGGGCAGUUCGAUCAACUGUUCAACUCUGCAGCCUCCGCCGACCAACCGCGUUUUCCCAAAGCUGUGGUGUAAUUUGGGAAUUGGGAUGAUGAGAUAAGGUGGGCAGUUGCGUGGAAGCAUCCAGGGCGUCCUCUACUUCUGUACACAUAUAAAAAGAAGUUUGGCUUUUGCUCGAGGGGAUAACAUUUUUGGGAGUGAGGUUGCAUCAUGCAUGUACUACUUUUAGUAUAUAUUAUGUUUGAUGACAAUUAAUCAUAUCUAAAAUUAAAAAUA